CAGCGCUAAACCACUCUGCGGUACCCAGAAUUGAUAAGCGAUUAAUAAUGCUAAGAAUAUAUUGUACAUACAUACUAUAUUAAUAAACAAGUGUGUAUGUGUUUGACCGCACUGACCCUUACUAAUCUGCUAUGUUAUUUGAUCAGCAAUCGCUUUGUUGUUUGAAAGAAACAUGUGUGUAUAAGUGAUCGAGAAAAUUCAGUUUCCAAAUACAGUCGUUUUAGUGACCACCUCUCUAUGUACUAUAUUCUCUCAUUAACAAAGUGUUUUAAUGCACUAUAUAUAAAUAAAUGCCUUUCAGUGACUAAAUAUAAAGAGAUGUAGAGAUUAAAUCAGUUUUACUUUUGCGCUGCGUCUCAAGUAAUUCGUGUCUAAAUCAGACGCCCGUGGGUGGAUUUCAAUUCAACCGUAGAUUCCUUCAUUGUGUACACCAAAUUUAAAGUGGAAGUGAAUUUUAUUGAAAAGAACAUGUACAUAUACGUAAGAUAACAAUAACUUUUAACCGCAAUCGAUGAACCGCUGCCGCUGCAUCAGUUAUUUACUCCGAACACGCAUCCGUCCAAAUGCUGACUUCGCAUCAGCAUACUGGCAAUUGGGGACAAACAUCAACGUGACCAGCAAAUAGCAUAGGCUUAAUUUAGGCUUAAGGAGACGCACCCUCUAAACGAUCGCACCGUGGGAGCUUUAGUAAGUACUAACCAAACGAGAGAACACCCUAGGCGCCAAGUAAGAAUAAGAAGCUAAGAAAAUAUUGAAAGUUAAAAGUUAAACAUUUUAUCAAUGAAAAAAGGAAACAUCAAAAAAUAAUAAAGAAAUUAAAGGGAAGUUACAAAAUUAAUAAGCUUAAAUUUUAAUUAAAUAAAACGAAAUUUUUUAAAUAAUAAAAAAUACAACAAAGCAAUACAUACAAACGUAAUAAUUAACAAAAAGAAAAAAAGCAUAUAAAUCAUAAAUUUUAAGAAAAUGUUUAAAACAUAUUUUUAGGAAAAAAAUUUUAGUAACAUUUAUCUACAUUUAAAAUGUUCACCCUAACCCUAACCAACAUUAUAACAAAUACAUAACAACGGGCUCGUACAGCCAAUAAAAAAAUAAAAUCAAGCUGCGAUUCACCACCUUCCGGGGGACCCUCCAGCUUAUAAAAAACAAAAUUCUCCCACGGAACCCUCCAGAGAAUUAUAAAUCCUAAAUAAAAAUAAACAUAGGCUUGUACAGCCAAUAACUUAAUGAAAAUUCAAGAGCCGCGAUUCACCACCUUCGGGAGGACCCUCCGGUUCUUUAUAAUUAAAGUUCAACUCUGCGAUUCACCACCUAAGGGACCCUCCAGAGUAAAAGGACACAUAAUAUAAAUACAUAAAAAAACAAUAUGUCAAACCCAAAUAACCUUCGGGGGGAUCCUCCAGAUUAUAAAAAACAAAAUUCCCUGCGAUUCACCACCCACGGGACCCUCCAGAGAAUUAUAAAUCCUAAAUAUAAAUAAACAUAGGCUUGUACAGCCAAUAACUUAAUGAAAAUUCAAGAGCCGUAUUUUCAUACGAAAAUACGAAAUAACUGCUCAAAUUCCCAGAAAUAAUUUCCUAUAUCCUAUACUAAAACACGAAACUAUCCAAACCUUUGAAAUCCGAAACGCACUUAAACCUAUCUAUAAUAAUAAAAUGAGAAGAUCAAUUGAUAUAUUGGGAACGGCAUGGAAAUAUAUUGCCGGAUCUCCUGAUCAUGAAGAUCUAGAUAUAAUUACUAAUAAUUUAAAUAAUCUUAAUAACAGUAACGAUAAACAAGUAAUCAUAAACAACUUAUUUGAAAAACGAAUUAAUAAUAUAACUAACAUAGUAAAUGAGAUGUCAAAGAAAAUACGAAAAUUUUAUAACUGAAAAUCUAAUAAAUGUGCAAAAUAAAAAAAGAUUAAUAAAAGAAGAAUUAGUAAAUAUAAGAUAUGCCAUUCAAUGGGCCAAAAAUAAUAUUGUAAAUUCAGUAAAGUUAAGUAAAGAAGAGAUUGAAUGGACAAUUAAAAAUUAACAUAAGAAAAAAUACCGUUUAAAAAUGCCGAAGAAGCAUUAGAAUCAUCUAAAAUAAAUGUGUUAAGUAAAGGUACAGAACUUUUAUAACAGUAGAAGAAACAUUUAGAAGAAUGUGACCAGUAAAAAGAAUUAAUAAUGUUAUAUUUAAAACAAAUUAUAAAUAUAUCUUACGGAAUUAAUUAAAAUUAUAUUAUCAUUAAAAAUGAAUGUGAAAGCUACAAUGAUUUAACAAUUUGCAAAGAAACCAAUUUGAUAGAUAUAAGUAAAGAUUUAUGUUUAACAAUAAUGAUAAAUAGUUUAAAUUCAACAUGCCAAACAACAGAUGGUCAUUAAGUUCCAAUCAGAGAAGAAAUAAAACCAGGAGUAUCUUUAAUAAAUCAAUUCAACGGUAAACUGGAAGCCGACACGAUCAAUGGAACACAAGUGGUAAUAUUCAACAAUUCUACAAUUAAAAUCAACAACCAGUCAUUUUAUCAUUUUGAAGUAAAAACGAUCUAUUAGAAGCAUUAAAGGAUUUACAUAUAAAUAAUGUACAGCGUAUCAACUUCCAUAAAAGGGCAACAUUGUCCUAUGGAAGUAUAAUAACAGCAACAUUUUUCAUAAUCAUCAUACUUAUUGAUUUCUUUAAAAAGCGGUCCGUAGAAAUCCUCUAUGUUGAGAAAGAAGUAAAAGAAUCAAGUAAAAGUCCAGAAGUUACAGCACCAAAAGAAAAAUCUGAAACAUACGUAAAUAUUAAUGACCUAAUUUUGCAGAUUGGAGGAUUAAAGGCAACUCACAUAUGUACAUCCGGACUACUCGUAAGAAACAUCUUUCCUAUAAUUACUUGAACUUGGUAGAAGACAUUUAUGGCCGAAGAAUAAAAAUUGAAUUUCGAUUGUAUACAAUAUUGUUCUAUAAUAUGAUGUACGAAUAAACUCACACCACUUUUCUUGCCACAGUUAUAAAAUAUAAAAUUUGUCCGUUGUUCUU